GCGCCGAAGCAGACGUGAACGAUGCUCGUCGAUCGAUAUUUCCAGCGCAGCAUCAGUACGUUUUGUUACUUUUAUUUUAUGUAUGUAUUCACGCAUUUUAUUUUUUUUUUUAUAAAGGGGGAGGGGAGACAGUGUAGGAGGGGCGGAUGCGUCAGUUGUGCGACAUUUAAUACACAACAAUGAAGACACUACCUUCUUAAAAGAAAGCGAAGUCAUUUCGGGUUUGCUGGAUGCAGCGGACCAGAAAUAAUACCGCAUAACCGAGCAGGCGACGUUCAGGAUAUUGCUCUCUCCUCACAGACCUUUCACUAAGAAAGAAUGAUUCUGUGUAUUGGAGCAGAGUAAUAAUACAUUGAUAACAUUGUGCUGGAAAAUCAGCUUGUCAUGCCUACGAUGCUUCAGAGAAAAAGAAAAAAAAAGGAAGGGGGGGAAAUACGCCAAAAUUAUUUUGAUCGAUAAACUGCCGAGAAACGGUCGUAUAACGAAGAGCAUAUUGCGUGCUGUAAUAAAAUGCAAGAGAAUGGAAUAAUCUUGCGAUUGUGCAUCGCUUGCUUUAUAGGCAAAAUAUAAUACUGUGUUUUAAUGCAUUUACUGAGCUCGUAAAAUCGGUUUUGUUCCCCCAGUUUUCGUCAUAAACGCUUCGCCCGUGAAACCUACUGGGGCAUACGCGGUAAUACAAAGUAAGAGUUAUCUACGUCCCUCAGUGGGAUUCGAUCCGCGGUUGUGACUUAAUGCAUAUGCAUAAGAGUACAAAGCGAUAGAGCACUAAGCUAUACAGGAGGGUACGAAAUUGGGACGGUUGUUUUUUUUUUUAAGGCGGAAGCCUGACGUGGCUCGUUGGGAUGGCUAAUAUCCGAAAAAAAGCGGCGUCUAGUCGAGUGGUUCAAAAAAUAUCAUCAUCAAGUCGAGGGGUGAAAAAAAGUUGACGAGUGGUACAAAAAAUAAAAUCAGCAGCAAUGGCUCAUACCCGAACAAAAAAAAAUAAUCUUGAAUGUCUCAUACCCCCCGUAAGUAAGUAAAAAUGCAAUGGCUGAAUAUGAAUGAAGACACGAAGGAAAAAAAGAACGAUGGAAAUUUGAAAGAAAGGAAACAUCAAAAUCAGGAAUGGCUCAUACCUCUGUAAGCAAGCAAAGAUGCAAUGGUUGAAUAUGAAAGAAGAUACGAAAGAAAGAACGAACGAACGAAAGAACAAAAAAAGAGAGAACAAAGAAAGAAAUAACGAAAGAGAAAAGUCGGAAAGAAAGAACGAAGUAACCUUUAGAUAGUGCAUUAGGUGCUCGCAUACUACAUGCUGAUAACGCAAAGCGACGCUCCUUAAGUACUGAUAGGCCGCCGGCAGACGCCGCUUAUCUCCAAGGUCACUGAAAUACCGGCUGUCACCUACAUCACACGCCAACCGUAUAACCCACAUGCCAAUGUAUAUACAGCUUGCACUCAGCAUUAUGCUGGAACCGCUACCACAUAGUGGCACCACCUACCCAUUCCCCCACCUUUCAAUAGCGUGAUAUUUAUUAUUAUCUUAUCUCUUAUUGAAUGGUUACCUUAUCUAUGCGACAGCAAGACAAGAUAGGCAUGAGAUAUGUGUGGCUGAUACAGUUUGGGAACCACUGCGCCACGGUUGUGAAUAGAUGAGUGGUGCCGCUAUGCGGUAGUGGUUCCAGCAUAAUGCUGAGUGCAAGCUGUAUAAACAUUGGCAUGUGAGUUAUACGGUGGGUUGGUGUGUGAUGUGGGUGAAAGCUGGUCUUUCAGGGACCUUAGAGACAAAUAUGCUCUUGAGAUAAGGGAUAAGAAUGGAUACUCUUACGCCGGAGCGGGUUUAAGGAGAGGUAGCUGUGAGUUGUUUUCAGUAUAUAACGAAGCAAUGGAUGACGAGAUUCCGUCUGACGGUUUAGACGAGGCUUUAGCAUCAGUUUGUGCUUUACUUCAAGGCGAACCUGCACCGGAAAGUAAAAGAAAAAGAAGUUUUUAUUGGUCCGUGUGCUCAUUAUAACGACGACUACGUCUGGAACUAAGCCUUCUUCACUCAGGGACAACGUGAUUCACUCAGAACUCCGUCACCGUCUAGGGAGCCUAUCAACCGUGGAGGACCUUUCGGGACAGGAUCUCCUUGAAAUACAGACCGGAAGCGAUUGGUUACGCGGAAGAGGUCUGCAGGAGAUACGGAAACUCUCCCGACAGACAUGCACACAUCGUCCACUUGUGUCCAUGGGCUUCCAAUUACUGCAGGUGUAAGCCAAUGCAUGGCUUGCCAAUCAAAAGAAGAAGUCGACCGUGCAAAUGCGGAGGAGCCAUCAGUGAACAACACUUCGUCAAGCUGCUCAACUUCCUUAUGUCAUAUCCCAGGCAGCUGUGUUUAUUUGAGAUCGGCUGUGCACCCGUCCACAUCUCAUAUCCUACAGCUAAAGAUUUGGAAGCGACAGGACAACCCACAAGAUCCUGGGAACCUGUAUGGCCCUCUAGUGUGCAAGUUCACUGCGCAGAUUGGCAAUCACCUGAAUCAAGCACCUCUACUGAACAUACUCAGAUCAGUCAACAAGAUAUUGUUAAAUCAGUCACCGUGCAGUGACCUCUUCACAGAAGACAAUGACUCCGUUGUAAAUUUCAUAUACAUGUUUGUUAAACACAUCUGUAUAUUUCCUCUUAAAAGUAGUCGCAGGACCAUAGAGUGGGUUAAGGGACCUGUAGCUAGCUAUAGGAUCCCGAGUACAAUCUAGCAGUAAGAAAGUGGAAUACGGAGCUUUGUUACUGGAAUUUCUAGGACCUUUAUUGUCAUUCUGAGUUUUCACAGCCAAAUCCUACCUUUGCACCCAUGACAACGUAUCUGUCCGUCCCUGAAUCGGUUGAAAUGCUUGAACGCAUACUACAUAUUCAUAUGGACGGAAACAUUAAACAAUUUGUCAGUGAGGUUUAUGCUGUCAUGCAGAAAAUUCUGCUAAAUAAAAACUACAUUUACAUAAUCUCUGCUCCAAGUUCUAGAACCAAUUAUGUAUUAACCACUAUCAUGACUUUCUAUUUAAACGCAAGCCAAAUGGGCAAUUUUAACCAUAACACCAACUUUCCAUUUCAGGAUUGUGACUCGAGACAUGUUAUACAUUGGAACAGGCCUAACAUCGAGCCAAACCCUUAUGAGACUGUAAAGAUGCUUCUGGGGGGUCACAGCAUAAAAUUAUUAUUUUUGAUUCGAAAAAGGCCUGGUAACGUAUGGUUUUACAAGCAUAAUACGUUUCCCAUCCUGUCGCCGUAGAAUCUUUAAAACAAGUUUCACAGAACAACAAAGACGACAAAGAAACUGAGUUGAGAGGAAGCUGCUACGAUAUAUGUCAGGUUACGGGCGAAAAAAUAGCUCAAACUAGUACCCAUAAACGUAUACAGAGCUGCAAUUUGCUGUGACUUUUUGUUAAAAAAAUCAAGUGCCGUACAAAAUCACCGCGUUGUUCCUUUCCACUGCACGGCAUUUGGAAACCAUGCACCGCCUCUACCAGUCGGCAGAUAGUAACGUGUUGGUGUACCAUAAGAGCCUGCCAGGCUCAUUUCGUCGUAGGGCACAGGCUCGACGUCGUUAGCAUGUCUUUUCGUGCUGCGCUUGACGUCCCGUUUCCAUGGUGGCUGCAGCGUUGUAGAAAGGCAAUGUGGUCGCUUUCUUGAAGAACCAUCAACGAUUAGCACUUUGCUCGCCGAUGCCGCUCCUGAGGCAACCUCCGACUGCGAAGUCACCGCUACAAACCUCCAUCGGCAGCGUCAGAGGCUUCCCGAUCCGUAUACCUCACCACCCAUUUCUUUAUAAAACGCGCGUACAUAAAAAAAAAAAGAAGAAGGAAGAAGAGAAAUGAAGGCUUAUCGUGUCCUUGGCAGCUCAGUUUGUGCGCAGAAGCAUGCAAAAUAUCUUGUUGCUUUUAGAUUUCUGUUUCACUGUGCGCGGACAAGACUUCCUAGGUCUGGAACUCUGUCAACAAAUGGAAAAACGCGCCCCAUUCAACGGAGUAACCGUGCCGACAACCCGCGAAAUUUCUCUCACUGGCCGCCACCGUCGACGCACGUUGCAAAUUAGUAGUUAAGGGGCGGUAUAACGUAAAACUAUUCCAAUCUUUUCUAUUCCAAUUCUGGAAUCAGCCCUCCGCGAUUGGUGAAAAUUUUUUUGGACCACCCCCACUUCACCUGUAUUUCACGCGACGUCACGAAAACCGCGAUAGCUCCCCAUCUGAUGUGACGUGUUCACACUGAUUAUGUAUGAUUUGACUGAGCAAAGGAAAAAUAAUAAUUUCUGAUUCGACGCCUUUUCGCCAUUAGCCCUCGGCUAUUGGCCAAAAGUUUUCGGGCUGCAGCCACUUCACCUGCCUGUCACGCGACGUCACAAAACCGCAAGAACUCACCGCGUCGAAGUGACGUGCAUGCGUUA